rnacentral:misc_RNA from 1 species
UGGUGUCUCCCCAUUCGACUGCAUGCCCGGGACGCUCUUCAGUGCACGUUCCCCGCACGCCGUGCGUGGAUUGCGAGCUGGUUCCUGUAUUGCUUACCGUGAUGGUGGAAUCCAUUGUCGUCGCGAGCACGUCUCCGCCGACUGCCUCAAGGGGCAGUCGGUGGACAGCGUAGUAGUCCCCGUGCACCAAGCACGUCCUCUCCCGAGUGGUGGGGCUGCGAUGGGCCACGGGUGGCUACUCGAUCUCUUGGACGCGGAACAUGUGAGGGGUACACGGCUUAUAGCCUCCUCGUGCCCUGCUAUUAUGCACCGAUCGAAUGACGCUCAUGCUCGCCGUUGGUUCCCCCGGCCUUGUGCCGGCUAGGGAUCCGGCGAGCGUGAAGUCGUAAUGGAUGCUACCUGGUUGAUCCUGCCAGUAGUCAUAUGCUUGUCUCAAAGAUUAAGCCAUGCAUG